rnacentral:lncRNA from 1 species
GGUUGUCAAACCUGUACACCACUGCUUCCAUGACUGAGUUGGCAAAAGUAGUUCCAUACUGAGUUGCAUAGUCGUACGUGUGUCUUCUUACAUGUAAGGACCUCAUGUUGGAAACUCUUUAAGAACUUCGCGAUGGUCGAGCUAUACCCGGUCCUUCUAGCAAAUAGACAUUUGAUCUUUAGACUUCGUGAUGUUUAGAUUAGCCAGCCGGUGCUUUUUUUUCCUAUCGUUUCAUAUGUACAUACGACCAAAUUUUCUGUACUUGUGUAUAAACAAAGCUUGUGCAUAAAUCUUAUUUUGAUUUUCUGUAUAUUUUUUUGGAUGAAGUUCAAAAUUCUAUGAUGCCUUGCAAUUCAAGUUUGGGUUAUUCAUAUAUCAGUACUUGGAAAUCUUACAUUUCCAGAAAUGAACAUUGAAAAGUCGAUACAUUAGGAACACUCAUCUUAACUUGAGUGGAGAACAGAGGCCAAGGAACAACUUUAGGAUUCUCUACAGGGAGGUUUGGGUGUGUCGUUAGGGACGACAGGGGUAACUUUGUUGCUGCGUCAUGCGUGAACUUCAAGAUGUCUUUUCUCCCUUGCAGGCAGAAGCUUUGGCAGCAAGGGCUUGUUCAGUUUGGGCGGACUCGAGGGGUUUCAGAGAUUUCUUAUUGAAAGGAGACUCUUCAGAUUGUGACGGUUAUUGUGAUGUCUCUACUAACAUGUCGUCAUCAAUUAGGCAGUCAGUAGAAGACACAAAGAGUAUUCUCGGCUUCCUCACCCAUGUCCGUCGCCAAGCUAACACGGUUGCGCAUAGAUUUGCUAGGUUUGGUUUGAAAGUUGGCAGCCAAUGUGAGUGGUUUGCUCAACCUCCUAGUUUUAUCAUUGACCUCCUUGUUGAGGACCCUAUGUAACCGGCCUAUGUACUUUGUUUGAGACUUCUUUUGAUCUUUUCCUGAACCAAUGCAACACUAUCGUUUUUAUAAAAAAUAAAAAUAAAAAAAGGCACAAAAUAAAAUUGUUGUUGUAAAACUGAGUUUGUAAGUGGGUGAGAGAGAGGGUCGAGAAAGAGAUUCCCAGUGUAUGAGAAUUGUCUGUUCACUU